rnacentral:sRNA from 1 species
UUUGUUCUUCAGCUGUUGAU